rnacentral:rRNA from 1 species
GUGGGGAAUAUUGGGCAAUGGGCGAAAGCCUGACCCAGCAACGCCGCGUGAAGGAAGAAGGUUUUCGGAUUGUAAACUUCUGUCCUCAGGGAAGAAGGAAGUGACGGUACCUGAGGAGGAAGCCCCGGCUAACUACGUGCCAGCAGCCGCGGUAAUACGUAGGGGGCGAGCGUUGUCCGGAAUGACUGGGCGUAAAGGGCGCGUAGACGGCUGUCUAAGUCUGGAGUGAAAGUCCUGCUUUCAAGGUGGGAAUUGCUUUGGAGACUGGAUGGCUUGAGUGCGGAAGAGGUAAGUGGAAUUCCCAGUGUAGCGGUGAAAUGCGUAGAGAUUGGGAAGAACACCAGUGGCGAAGGCGACUUACUGGACUGUAACUGACGUUGAGGCUCGAAAGCGUGGGGAGCAAACAGGAUUAGAAACCCCAGUAGUCC